rnacentral:miRNA from 1 species
CCUGGCAAGGAAGGGCUCUGUUU